rnacentral:rRNA from 1 species
GUCGAACGGUAACAGGAAGCAGCUUGCUGCUUUGCUGACGAGUGGCGGACGGGUGAGUAAUGUCUGGGAAACUGCCUGAUGGAGGGGGAUAACUACUGGAAACGGUAGCUAAUACCGCAUAGCGUCGCAAGACCAAAGAGGGGGACCUUCGGGCCUCUUGCCAUCGGAUGUGCCCAGAUGGGAUUAGCUAGUAGGUGGGGUAACGGCUCACCUAGGCGACGAUCCCUAGCUGGUCUGAGAGGAUGACCAGCCACACUGGAACUGAGACACGGUCCAGACUCCUACGGGAGGCAGCAGUGGGGAAUAUUGCACAAUGGGCGCAAGCCUGAUGCAGCCAUGCCGCGUGUAUGAAGAAGGCCUUCGGGUUGUAAAGUACUUUCAGCGGGGAGGAAGGCGAUAAGGUUAAUAACCUUGUCGAUUGACGUUACCCGCAGAAGAAGCACCGGCUAACUCCGUGCCAGCAGCCGCGGUAAUACGGAGGGUGCAAGCGUUAAUCGGAAUUACUGGGCGUAAAGCGCACGCAGGCGGUCUGUCAAGUCGGAUGUGAAAUCCCCGGGCUCAACCUGGGAACUGCAUUCGAAACUGGCAGGCUAGAGUCUUGUAGAGGGGGGUAGAAUUCCAGG